CCAGACUCCUACGGGAGGCAGCAGUGGGGAAUAUUGCACAAUGGGGGAAACCCUGAUGCAGCGACGCCGCGUGAGUGAAGAAGUAUUUCGGUAUGUAAAGCUCUAUCAGCAGGGAAGAAAAACCGACCAUAGGGUCGCUAGACGGUACCUGAUUAAGAAGCCCCGGCUAACUACGUGUCAGCAGCCGCGGUAAUACGUAGGGGGCAAGCGUUAUCCGGAUUUACUGGGUGUAAAGGGAGCGUAGACGGCCAUGCAAGCCUGAUGUGAAGGGUGUGGGCACAACCCGCACACUGCAUUGGGAACUGUAUGGCUAGAGUGUCGGAGGGGCAGGCGGAAUUCCUGGUGUAGCGGUGAAAUGCGUAGAUAUCAGGAGGAACACCGGUGGCGAAGGCGGCCUGCUGGACGACGACUGACGUUGAGGCUCGAGAGCGUGGGGAGCGAACAGGAUUAGAUACCCCGGUA
rnacentral:rRNA from 1 species